rnacentral:rRNA from 2 species
UAGAAGCAGCCAUCAUUUAAAGAAAGCGUAAUAGCUCACUGGUCGAGUCGGCCUGCGCGGAAGAUGUAACGGGGCUAAACCAUGCACCGAAGCUGCGGCAGCGACGUUUAUGCGUUGUUGGGUAGGGGAGCGUUCUGUAAGCCUGCGAAGGUGGCCUGUGAGGGUUGCUGGAGGUAUCAGAAGUGCGAAUGCUGACAUAAGUAACGAUAAAGCGGGUGAAAAGCCCGCUCGCCGGAAGACCAAGGGUUCCUGUCCAACGUUAAUCGGGGCAGGGUGAGUCGACCCCUAAGGCGAGGCCGAAAGGCGUAGUCGAUGGGAAACGGGUUAAUAUUCCCGUACUUGGUGUUACUGCGAAGGGGGGACGGAGAAGGCUAUGUUGGCCGGGCGACGGUU